rnacentral:rRNA from 1 species
CCAAUUGAUUGAUGGUGCUUGCACCUGAUUGACCUUUUUCGCCAACGAGUGGCGGACGGGUGAGUAACACGUAGGUAACCUGCCCAGAAGCAGGGGAUAACACUUGGAAACAGGUGCUAAUACCGUAUAACAACAAAAUCCGCAUGGAUUUUGUUUGAAAGGUGGCUUCGGCUAUCACUUCUGGAUGAUCCCGCGGCGUAUUAGUUAGUUGGUGAGGUAAAGGCCCACCAAGACGAUGAUACGUAGCCGACCUGAGAGGGUAAUCGGCCACAUUGGGACUGAGACACGGCCCAAACUCCUACGGGAGGCAGCAGUAGGGAAUCUUCCACAAUGGACGAAAGUCUGAUGGAGCAAUGCCGCGUGAGUGAAGAAGGGUUUCGGCUCGUAAAACUCUGUUGUUAAAGAAGAACACCUUUGAGAGUAACUGUUCAAGGGUUGACGGUAUUUAAUCAGAAAGUCACGGCUAACUACGUGCCAGCAGCCGCGGUAAUACGUAGGUGGCAAGCGUUGUCCGGAUUUAUUGGGCGUAAAGCGAGUGCAGGCGGUCUUUUAAGUCUGAUGUGAAAGCCUUCGGCUUAACCGAAGAAGGGCAUCGGAAACUGGGAGACUUGAGUGCAGAAGAGGAGAGUGGAACUCCAUGUGUAGCGGUGAAAUGCGUAGAUAUAUGGAAGAACACCAGUGGCGAAGGCGGCUCUCUGGUCUGUAACUGACGCUGAGGCUCGAAAGCGUGGGUAGCAAACAGGAUUAAAUACCCUGGUAGUCCACGCCGUAAACGAUGAAUAACUAAGUGUUGGAGGGUAUCCGACCUUCAGUGCUGCAGCUAACGCAUUAAGUAUUCCGCCUGGGGAGUACGACCGCAUGGCUGACACUCGAAGGAAUCUGACGGGGCCCGCACAAGCGGUGGAGCAUGUGGGUUAAUUCGAAGCAACGCGAAGAACCUUACCAGGUCCUGACAUCUUCUGCCACGCUGAAAGAUCAGCUGUUUCCUUUCGGGACUGAAUGACAGGUGGUGCAUGGUUGUCGU